rnacentral:rRNA from 1 species
CCUACGGGAGGCAGCAGUGAGGAAUAUUGGUCAAUGGACGCAAGUCUGAACCAGCCAUGCCGCGUGCAGGAAGACGGCUCUAUGAGUUGUAAACUGCUUUUGUACGAGGGUAAACGCAGAUACGCGUAUCUGUCUGAAAGUAUCGUACGAAUAAGGAUCGGCUAACUCCGUGCCAGCAGCCGCGGUAAUACGGAGGAUUCAAGCGUUAUCCGGAUUUAUUGGGUUUAAAGGGUGCGUAGGCGGUCGGAUAAGUUAGAGGUGAAAUCCCGAGGCUCAACUUCGGAAUUGCAUCUGAUACUGGUCGGCGAGAGAGUAGUUGCGGUAGGCGGAAUGUAUGGUGUAGCGGUGAAAUGCUUAGAGAGCAUACAGAACACCGAUUGCGAAGGCAGCUUACCAAGCUACUUCUGACGUUGAGGCACGAAAGCGUGGGGAGCAAACAGGAUUAGAUACCCGAGUAGUC